UGGGGAAUUUUGGACAAUGGGCGAAAGCCUGAUCCAGCAAUGCCGCGUGUGUGAAGAAGGCCUUCGGGUUGUAAAGCACUUUUGUCCGGAAAGAAAUCCUCUGGGUUAAUACCUCGGGGGGAUGACGGUACCGGAAGAAUAAGCACCGGCUAACUACGUGCCAGCAGCCGCGGUAAUACGUAGGGUGCAAGCGUUAAUCGGAAUUACUGGGCGUAAAGCGUGCGCAGGCGGUUUUGUAAGACGGAUGUGAAAUCCCCGGGCUUAACCUGGGAACUGCAUUCGUGACUGCAAGGCUAGAGUAUGGCAGAGGGGGGUAGAAUUCCACGUGUAGCAGUGAAAUGCGUAGAGAUGUGGAGGAAUACCGAUGGCGAAGGCAGCCCCCUGGGCCAAUACUGACGCUCAUGCACGAAAAGCGUGGGGAGCAAACAGGAUUAGAUACCCUGGUAGUCCACGCCCUAAAACGAUGUCAACUAGUUGUUGGGGAUUCAUUUCCUUAGUAACGUAGCUAACGCGUGAAGUUGACCGCCU
rnacentral:rRNA from 1 species